AGAGUUUGAUCCUGGCUCAGAUUGAACGCUGGCGGCAUGCCUUACACAUGCAAGUCGAACGGCAGCAUAGGAGCUUGCUCCUGAUGGCGAGUGGCGAACGGGUGAGUAAUAUAUCGGAACGUGCCCUAGAGUGGGGGAUAACUAGUCGAAAGAUUAGCUAAUACCGCAUACGAUCUACGGAUGAAAGUGGGGGAUCGCAAGACCUCAUGCUCUUGGAGUGGCCGAUAUCUGAUUAGCUAGUUGGUGGGGUAAAAGCCUACCAAGGCGACGAUCAGUAGCUGGUCUGAGAGGACGACCAGCCACACUGGAACUGAGACACGGUCCAGACUCCUACGGGAGGCAGCAGUGGGGAAUUUUGGACAAUGGGCGCAAGCCUGAUCCAGCAAUGCCGCGUGAGUGAAGAAGGCCUUCGGGUUGUAAAGCUCUUUUGUCAGGGAAGAAACGGUCAGGGCUAAUAUCCUUGACCAAUGACGGUACCUGAAGAAUAAG
rnacentral:rRNA from 1 species